CCCUUAGAUGUUCUGGGCGGCCCGCGCACUACAAUGGCGUGUGCAGCGAGUGCCGAAGUAGAGUUUUCCGAGGUAUUCUUGCAAUGCUCGUUUUGAUGGGGAUAGACCCUUGCGACUGUUGGUUUUGAACGAGGAAUUCCUUGUAAGCAUGGUUUAUCAUCCGACGCUGAAUGCGUCCCUGCCCUUUGUACACACCGCCCGUCGCUCCUACCGAUGAGUCGUCCGGUGAAGUUCGUAGACCUCGUGAUUGCGGAUCACUGGGGGAAGCAAAAUGAACCUCGCGGUUUAGAGGAAGGAGAAGUCGUAACA
rnacentral:rRNA from 1 species